rnacentral:rRNA from 1 species
CUACGGGGCGCACCAGUGGGGAAUCUUGCGCAAUGGGCGAAAGCCUGACGCAGCAACGCCGCGUGCGGGAUGAAGGCCUUCGGGCUGUAAACCGCUUUCAGCAGGAACGAAAAUGACGGUACCUGCAGAAGAAGGAGCGGCCAACUACGUGCCAGCAGCCGCGGUGACACGUAGGCUCCAAGCGUUGUCCGGAUUUAUUGGGCGUAAAGAGCUCGUAGGCGGUUGAGUAAGUCGGGUGUGAAAACUCUGGGCUUAACCCGGAGACGCCAUCCGAUACUGCUCUGACUAGAGUUCAGGAGGGGAGUGGGGAAUUCCUAGUGUAGCGGUGAAAUGCGCAGAUAUUAGGAGGAACACCGGUGGCGAAGGGCCACUCUGGACUGAAACUGACGCUGAGGAGCGAAAGCAUGGGUAGCAAACAGGAUUAGAUACCCCUGUAGUC